rnacentral:rRNA from 1 species
AAGCGGAGGAAAAGAAACUAACAAGGAUUCCCCUAGUAACUGCGAGUGAAGCGGGAAAAGCUCAAAUUUAAAAUCUGGUAGUUUCACUGCCCGAGUUGUAAACUAGAGAAGCGUUAUCCGCGCUGGACCGUGUAUAAGUCUCCUGGAAUGGAGCGUCAUAGAGGGUGAGAAUCCCGUCUUUGACACGGACUACCAGGGCUUUGUGAUGCGCUCUCAAAGAGUCGAGUUGUUUGGGAAUGCAGCUCUAAAUGGGUGGUAAAUUCCAUCUAAAGCUAAAUAUUGGCGAGAGACCGAUAGCGAACAAGUACCGUGAGGGAAAGAUGAAAAGAACUUUGGAAAGAGAGUUAAACAGUACGUGAAAUUGUUGAAAGGGAAACGCUUGAAGUCAGUCGCGUCGGCUAGGAAUCAGCCUUGCUUUUGCUUGGUGUACUUUCUAGUCGACGGGUCAGCAUCAGUUUUGAUCGGUGGAAAAAGGCCAGCGGAAUGUGGCACCUUCGGGUGUGUUAUAGCUGCUGGUUGUAUACAUCGGUUGGGACUGAGGAACUAGCACUCUGUGUUUUAGAUGCUGGCAUAAUGGCUUUAAUCGACCCGUCUUGA